rnacentral:lncRNA from 1 species
UCACUGAUGUUGCAGGGGUCUUCCCUGUGUUUCAUGGGGCUCAUCCCUGUGUUCCCUCAUGGGAGCCCUGUCUCAGGGUUCCUGCGUGGUGAGUCUGAAGUUUCUAAGGCAGGACUGGUUUGCACGGUUUACCACUCUUCCCUACAUUCCUCUCGGCAGGACAGCCACCCUUUCAGAAAGCAGAAGCAGAGAUGGCUGCUGGGAUGUUUGCAAUUGGACCCCUGACUUGGAGAGAGACCAAAUCUGCAACUAAGGAUGCUGUGCUAUCAGAGAACGGCUUUGGAAAAGAUUUAUCACAGAAGAUCGCUGUACUGGGGGAGAAAGGCCUAUGGGGCUCCAGAAUGGAAGGCCUGAGAAGUGGAAUGGCAGGAUAUGAAGACUGUGAAAUAUUCAAGAGCAUCACCCGAGUCAGAGACUAGUAAGGAGGGAGAAGAAGCAAGCUGCUCUAAGGGGCUCCAGACUUGAAGCUUCUCUUUUCCCAGAACCAGGAAUUGUCACAGAAGGACCUGGCCAACAACGCCGAACACAUGAGGGAAUCUCCACGAAGAAUUUACAUUUGAUUGCAGAUACCCAUUUGGGGGAGGUAAUCGUCAAGGAUACAGAAGACAGAAAAAUUAUAAGGCAGACUUCAUCAUUUAUUUUGAGGGAAAAAAAUCCCAGUACUGAAAAAUAAAAAACCCUAUAGAUGUAGGCACAUGUGAAAGGGCCUUUUGUUUGAAGGCACUGCUCAUUCAACAUGAAGAGGUCACAAUAAAGAGAAACUUUAUGAAUGUAAUGAAUUCGGAAAGGCCUUCUUUGCGUCUUCAUCGCUCACAGUACGUCAAAGGAUUCACACUAAGAAGAAACCUUGCUGCUGUAAUGUCUGUGGAAAAUCUUUCAGCCAGUGUGCCCACUUUAAUCAUCAUCAAAGAAUUCAAACUGGAGAGGGAGCCUACGCAUGCAUGCAAUGUGGGAAACCAAAACUUAGUGAUAAACCAAAACUUGUGCCGUAUCAGGAAACUCACCAAUGGUGAGAAGCCCUACAGAUGUGGCGACUGUGGGAAAGGCUUUCAGAAGUAAGUACUAUCUUAGUGUGCACCAGAGAACCCAGACCAAUGAGAAGCCAUACAGACGCAAUGAGUGUGGAAAAUCUUCCAAGGAUACCACAAUUUUUAAUGUUCUUCAAAGAAUCCAUACAGAAGAGAGACCCUGUGAAUGCUGUGACUGUGGAGAGGCUGUUCGUGUGUUCUCAUCCCUCAUUAAUACAUCAGCAUAUUCAUUUCUAGGAAGAAAACCCCCUACCUGUGUUCUGAAUGUAGGGAAUCCUUCAGAAU